GGCGGACGGGUGAGUAAUGCAUCGGAACGUGCCCAGGAGUGGGGGAUAACGUAGCGAAAGUUACGCUAAUACCGCAUACGUACUGAGGUAGAAAGCGGGGGAUCGAAAGACCUCGCGCUCAUGGAGCGGCCGAUGUCGGAUUAGCUAGUUGGUGAGGUAAAAGCUCACCAAGGCGACGAUCCGUAGCUGGUCUGAGAGGACGACCAGCCACACUGGGACUGAGACACGGCCCAGACUCCUACGGGAGGCAGCAGUGGGGAAUCUUGGACAAUGGGGGAAACCCUGAUCCAGCAAUGCCGCGUGUGGGAUGAAGGCCCUCGGGUUGUAAACCACUUUUGGCAGGAAAGAAAUCGCCUGUGCUAAUACCAUGGGCGGAUGACGGUACCUGCAGAAUAAGCACCGGCUAACUACGUGCCAGCAGCCGCGGUAAUACGUAGGGUGCGAGCGUUAAUCGGAAUUACUGGGCGUAAAGCGUGCGCAGGCGGUUUUGUAAGACAGAUGUGAAAUCCCCGGGCUUAACCUGGGAACUGCAUUUGUGACUGCAAGACUAGAGUGUGUCAGAGGGAGGUGGAAUUCCGCGUGUAGCAGUGAAAUGCGUAGAGAUGCGGAAGAACACCGAUGGCGAAGGCAGCCUCCUGGGAUAACACUGACGCUCAGGCACGAAAGCGUGGGGAGCAAACAGGAUU
rnacentral:rRNA from 1 species